AGAAUCAACGCUGGCGGCGUGCCUAACACAUGCAAGUCGAACGCGAAAGCCCCGCAAGGGGCAAGUAGAGUGGCAAACGGGUGAGUAACACGUGGGUGACCUGCCUUCGAGCGGGGGAUAACGUCCCGAAAGGGACGCUAAUACCGCAUAACAUCCUGCCUUUGAAGAGGUGGAGAUCAAAGCUGGGGAUCGCAAGACCCGGCACUUGAAGAGGGGCCCGCGUCUGAUUAGCUAGUUGGUGGGUAACGCCUACCAAGGCAACGAUCA
rnacentral:rRNA from 1 species